GGGGAAAUCUGAAUAGUAAUUCCAGUCAUCCAAAUUCUAUGAGAGGGUCUGAGGAAAAAAAGACAAGCCUAUCACGGGCGCCCUCCGAUCACGAAGGGCACGGGCAUGAGAAGGCGACAGAGGAGGUCCUCGGCUCGCCCUGGGCGCGGAGCGAGGACUCUGGUCAGAGGUAAUUAUGUCACCGCGUUUUCUCGCCGUGACAGCCGAAUAAACACGAUCUCCAAUAAACAUCUCUAAUGAGGGAGGAGGCCCGAGGAUGGCUGGGUUUGAUUUAUGACUGGAGGAGAAGGUCCACUUCCCACUGCGAAGCAGGCGACCUGCUCGCCGCCCAGCUCCAGGGAGAGGAACCCGCGGAGGAGAGGAUCCCGGCCCAGGUGGGGAAUCCAGCUGCUGCCUUUCUCAAAAGACCCUCAAAUUAUUUCUGCUGGAGGAGUGUCUUCCAGGAAGGACUAAUGGUUUGUGGAAUACACUUUGGGAAAUGCUUAUCUUGAGGCAGCAUGAGUGUUUUUUCGGGACUCAGCUGUCUCCCCAACUUUGGCCUGUCCUUGCCUGUCAUGCGGGGCAUGCAGGAAUGGAAUUCUGCACAUGGCAAAGGGCUGAAUCCUGCUUUUCUUCACACAGGUGCAGCUCCCCACAGCACCAGCUCUCCAGCUGCCCCCACACAGCCUGUUUUGUGCUAGGGCUAUCGCGAUUUGCAAAUUCCUUCUCUAGCUCAAGUGCAUGGACCCAGAAAAUGCCCCUGCUUGAGGGCCAAUGUUGACCAAGGCCCUCAGCAGUAAUGUGACCUCUGUGGGAGCAGCACCUCGCAGAGGGCAGAGUUUGGCUCUAUGCUUGUACCAUUGGUGGUAAAUUCUGCUGAGCUCUAUGGAUCCAUCUGGAUGAAAAGUGGUUCCACCUCCUACCUAUAAUGGAGAUGGGGACUUGUGGGGUGACAUUGUGCCGCUUCCAGGCUUUUAGCAGGCAACUUCUCCUGGCUCGGAUGAUCUAGAGCAGUGAUUUUCCAGCAGUUCCUGGGGGUCUGGUGAGAAGAAGACAGGCCUGGAGUUGAAGGAGAGAAAAAAGGCUGGGCUGGCCUGUUGGAAGGAGACUUCCACCUCUGCAAGCAUCCCCAUCUUGUUUGGAUUGCAAACUCAGUUGCCAGCCAAGCAAGAUGAGGGGAACGGCUUUGGACUCGGGCUGACUUGGACCACAUCCCAUCUCUGCCGCCAUCUGAGCUCUGUGACCGUGAAGUGCUCCUACCACCCUUCUGAGCUUUUGUUUUCUUCACCUGUAAAAGUGCAGGAAGAAUACUUACCUGUCACCAGAAUAUUCCAAGAAUUAGAAUUAAUGUUUGGAAAGUUGUUGACACCUAGCAGGUACUCAAAAAAUGGUGGCUAUUACUACUACAUUCUACAGUCUCUGCGCUACUUUGAAAGGACUUGCUUCUAGGGGAGCUUAUUUCUAAUGGGGAGAUAUUUUGGUUUUGAAGUAAAAUCUAUACCGUGUUAGAUGGGAGGUGUGCUUUAGAGAAAAAAUAAAGCAGGGAUGGGAGACUGAGAUGGCUGGGGAGCCUGAGGAAAGCCCCAUUUAUAGGUCUAAGAAUGAGAGAGAGUUUCUUUCUUAAAUUCCCUCUCCCUACUUUAUCAAAGAGAUUUUACUUCCAAAUAAGUGUAAACGGGAAAAGGGAACAGAGCCUGAAAGACACUCAAAACAGACACUCAAAAAUGCUGUCCUAGGGAGUCAGCUGGGGUGUCAUCACUGACGUGGGACUUAGGGUGUUGAGCUGGAGUCCUGGUUUGUCAUUUGAAAAGAGAAAUCCUGAUCAAGUUGUUGUACUGCUCUUUGACUCUAUUUCCUUAACUGUAAAUUAGAGGUAAGAAUCCCUGUCUCACGUGCACGAGCAGGAGAGGCUUUCUGGUCUGUUGGGAUUCUCAGAUUCACAAGGAUCAGGACGUGGCCAUUGAAAGCUGCCAUCCCAAGAGGCAAAACUAUGGAAGAUAGGAAGGAAAUCCGUACUUACCUCACUCUGCUCCCUCCUCCUUUCCGUGCCUGCGUGCACACACACACGCAUGCACACACCCUGAGGUUGUCAGGGGACUAGAGGUGUUGUCCUUGAAAGUGAAAGUCAUUCCAAGGCAAAGGAAAUGUACUGGUGUUGAGAAGGUUCGGUAGGGCCCCUUCCAACGGGAAUGGCUGACUCGCCAUGUCCUCUAAAGAUGCUGCCUUGAUUCGUGGAUUUCAGCAUUGUCCAAGCUCUGUGGCACCAUGGACUGGUUGUAUGUCACUGACAAGCAAAUGCUUAGUCCUGUGCUGUAUAUAUUUACUGUACCAUAUAAAUAAUAAACACUAAUAACUCACUUCA
ensembl:lncRNA PAUPAR PAX6 upstream antisense RNA